rnacentral:rRNA from 1 species
UACAGAGGUCUCAAGCGUUGUUCGGAUUCAUUGGGCGUAAAGGGUGCGUAGGCGGCGCCGUAAGUCGGAUGUGAAAUCUUCGGGCUCAACCCGGAAACUGCAUUCGAUACUGCGGUGCUUGAGGACUCGAGAGGAGAUCGGAAUUCACGGUGUAGCAGUGAAAUGCGUAGAUAUCGUGAGGAAGACCAGUGGCGAAGGCGGAUCUCUGGAGAGUUCCUGACGCUGAGGCACGAAGGCCAGGGGAGCAAACGGG